UAACAAUGGCUACCCUGGUUACGGUCGGGGUCGGGCCUUGGUGAUCGUUGUUGGUGUUUGGUGGGCUACUGCGAUCAACGAUUGGUUUUUUUCGGAUGGUUGUCAACCCGGGUAAACAAUCGAGCAAAAUCGAGAGACGUCCGCCAGCACGGCGUCGAUUACUACAGGUUCUCGACGGACCGGGAAGAGCGCAACCGGCAGCGAGAAGGAGAACCUGCUUGCCACCCGAGACCGCAUCAUAGUGCGGCCAAAGAGCUGUACGACGCGGCGGAGGAACGGGAACGCGCCAAGGCGGAAGCUAAGGCGAAAAGGUAGCGCGAAAAGGACGAACGAAGGUGGAAUGGAAGAUAUUUUCCUGCACGAGGAGCUCCCAUCCCGGGCGCUUUAAACGCAGAGACGGCGGAAAAACGACCCAAUCUAAAGCAGCAUCGAGUGCCGAUACGGAUUACGGAAUGAGCUUAGCGAGGAUGAAGAGGAAAAGGUAGAAGAAGUUCAGCGUGGAAAGGGCGUUGAAAUUGCCCCACCACUAACUUUCGAUUAUUACGGGCCGACGACGGAUAAAGGGGCAAAAAGCGCCGCGUAAGCCACCAGUUUCGAAAACUACCCUCGAGGCGUCCAUUGAGCCGGGGCUGAAGUUUAUGCGGAAUCAAUCGGACGUAAAACAGGUGGACCUCGAAUGCGGAUUACUAGUGAGAGAUAGCUCCGGGUGUAAAUAAGUUGGAAUGAAAUAUACAGAAUUAUAAGUUUGGA